rnacentral:rRNA from 1 species
UACGUAGGGUGCAAGCGUUAAUCGGAAUUACUGGGCGUAAAGCGUGCGCAGGCGGUUUUGUAAGUCUGUCGUGAAAUCCCCAGGCUCAACCUGGGAACUGCGUCCGAUACUGGAUGGCUUGAAUCCGGGAGAGGGAUGCAGAAUUCCAGGUGUAGCGGUGAAAUGCGUAGAUAUCUGGAGGAACACCGGUGGCGAAGGCGGCCUUCUGGACAGUAACUGACGCUGAGACGCGAAAGCGUGGGGAGCAAACAGG